rfam:Gossypium hirsutum cultivar TM-1 chromosome 16, whole genome shotgun sequence
AGCCCAUGGUGAGGGCACCUUCUCAAUAGAUCAUUAUAUCUCUCUCAUGCAUCAUAGAGUGUUUCUAAAUCCAUCUGCACAAAAGAAGAAUUAUCAUUCCUUAGUUU